GUUGAAACACCAGUUCCCCUAUGAUCAACAAAGUUAAACAAUGUCAGGCCUGGCCAGUACCUAGAUGGGUGACCGCUUGGGAAUACUAGAUGCUGUAA